UGACUUUGUCUGUUAGCAUUCCCUUACAGCCAGUUGGUCUGUGGUUCAUGUUUCGUUAGCUUAGUAUGCUACUUGUGUGUUACCUGACUUGAAUGCCGUGAUUUGUGAAAACAUAUAUAAAGAUGUAGCGGCAAACAUACUGAAUUGGUUCUUUCUAUCAAAAGCGGUAGGGAAUGUCUACUCCCAGCAAGGGACAUGCACAGCCACCACCGCCGCCUGUAUCUAGUAUUUCAGAAGAGUCCGACCGAGAUGGGUAUGUAUCUUAGAACUGCGUUUCUAAACCAGCCAUGCAGGACAUUGUAAGUUGUGACUGACUUAUUUAUCUUUUGAAUCAGGGACAAAUAAUUCGCUAUGCAAGGUGUUCAACCGUUGGGCAAAGAAACCGAAGCGAUUGGUGUGCUAGAAUCUAGCAUGCACUCCUUGAGCAUUGCUGAAGAGCAGCAGCAUGACUCUCUGGAUGAGGAGGAGGCGAAUUAUAUGAGGAAUAGCAUGUAAGUCUUGCACAUGAAACCAUCUUAGUUCGUGUUCUUUUGUGCUUCAAGUUUAUGGUGUUGUGGGUGUGUGUUUUGUAAAUCAUUUUUAUUUACAGUAUUGACAUGGAUGAUUGCUGGGAGGAUCCUAAUCAGAAGGGCUUGGAAGAAGAUUGGGACAGCUCUGAUGAAGACUAUAGUCCUUUUCUUCAUCUACGUGCCCCAGCUAUGACUGCCAACAUCAACCAACUCCUGGAGAUAAGCAUGGAUAAAGCCGUGCUUGAUGUGGCAACACCCAAUCCUCCAGGUGAGGACAUACAAGAAACUCCAGAACAACAAAAAGUUUCAGGACAACUUCAGAUUUGGAGAAUUUCUAAAACCACAUACUCAUGUAUGCAGGAAAGCGGUUUGCCUACAGCCCCCCUGUUUACAAAACCCAGACAUUGCUUGCAGCAAUCGUUUACAAUUAUCACAACCACCGCAUUCC
rnacentral:lncRNA from 1 species